UGACCAGUGAAGAAGAGUGUUGAGUGAGAUGAGAGUGAUCCUGCAAAUGCAACAACGCCUCUACGGAGCCUAGAGGCAGACCAGGGCAGCCCAGAGACCCG